rnacentral:sRNA from 1 species
GCCAGGCACGGUGGCACAUGCCUGUAAUCCCAGCGAUUUGGGAGGCUGAGGCAGGAGGAUUGCAAGUUUGAGACCAACCUUAGCAACUACAUGAGGCCCUAAGGACUUAUCGAGAUUCUGUCUCAA